UCCUACGGGAGGCAGCAGUGAGGAAUAUUGGUCAAUGGGCUUACGCCUGAACCAGCCAAGUCGCGUGAGGGAAGACUGCCCUAUGGGUUGUAAACCUCUUUUGUCGGGGAGCAAAAGACGCCACGCGUGGCGUUCCGAGAGUACCCGAAGAAAAAGCAUCGGCUAACUCCGUGCCAGCAGCCGCGGUAAUACGGAGGAUGCGAGCGUUAUCCGGAUUUAUUGGGUUUAAAGGGUGCGCAGGCGGAAGAUCAAGUCAGCGGUAAAAUUGAGAGGCUCAACCUCUUCGAGCCGUUGAAACUGGUUUU
rnacentral:rRNA from 1 species